rnacentral:lncRNA from 1 species
CUUAUGGGGAUCUUGUGUUAGAAAGUCUUUGUGUGUGUCCAAAGAAGGACAGGAAAAAUAGUGCCUUAAUUUAGCUUAUGAAUGCUGAACGUUCCUGGACCCCUCACGACUUUCCCUCUUUCUCAGCGUCCAGUGCGGAUGAGGUGGAAGAGCAAGAGCAGGACCAGGAAGAGGACGGGCGCUUUCAGAGACCACCGGGAAUUCCUGGAGGAGACCCGGAACCACAUUUCUGUUCCAGAAAGGUAAAGAAUUCCCCCUUCUCUCCAGUCUCCUUCCUGUGGAGACCCCAGGGUCACC